GCGGACGUGGCGGAACGGCAGACGCGCCAGGCUUAGGACCUGGUGGGGGCGACCCCGUGGAGGUUCGAGUCCUCCCGUCCGCA
rnacentral:tRNA from 1 species